ensembl:lncRNA
GCGAGGCUAAGCUAGUGGGGGAAAAGUUUCAGUGCAUUCUGUUGAUGUAGACGGCGUGAAAACGGAAACAACAAGUAUGCCGGCUCACUGUGCUGCAUACAGUUAUACACUACGUCGUACGACUGAGACAAGGAAACUUGGAAUGACUUUUCAUAGGUUUCCCAGAGACUAUGGGUUGAGGAGGAAGUGGAAGUUUGUCGGCUUAGACCUGGUGUCAUUCCAUCAGUGUUAAACUUCCCGGCUCAUCUUGGAAGAGUAAGUGCCAGAAAGACCACGACCAAGCAGCCUUGAGAUCUUAGGCAGUGUCUCCCUGAGACCAAAGAACUACAGACUCUUCACAACCUGCUCAAACUCUUGGUACAGGACCUCACCACACGGGUCAAGAAGGUUGCUUUGUAGAACUAUUCCAGAAAACCUCACUAAACCACAUGGAGGGGCCUCAAGAUAGUCGUCCAAAUGAAACCAUACAAAAACCAAACUAGCACAACCCAAACGCUAAAGUCUCCUGCAGCCUACCAGAGAACCUCUGAGAACAGAGAAUCAGGACAGGAACUCUUACCUUCUGGACAACCAACGCUGGUUCUCAAACAAGAAUACAGAAUGUGUCUGACCAGAAACCUCUAAAGACUCACUACAGCCAAGAUAAAGACACAACUCAGCUGUACCAAAUCCACUAAUCACUGCACACAUUAGCACCAUGUGCUAACUGUGGCUAAAGAACCACAUUUACCAAGACAACUAUCCAGUACAAAGCCCUAAAACACACCAAGAAACACAUUAAAGACGAUUUUACUGCUGGAAGCUGCAAGUCAAAGCCUAAAGAACAAACUAAAGCAAUGGAGCCAAACCAGGUUCUGUGGUGAAGAGAAGCAGAGGAAAUGUUUGUCUGCAGCUAAAUAAAGCAGGAAGACACUGAGCUGCUCAGGUGUUCCUGAUAACACCAAGCAGCCACCUGGACAGCCAAUAGGAACACAGCUUACUGGAAGUCCAGAGGGCUGGGUUAGUGAAGGAAAUUUAAUUCAAAGUUGAAGCAGAAAGUUAAUAAAGAAAGUUGAAAAC